rnacentral:rRNA from 1 species
UACGUAGGGUGCAAGCGUUAAUCGGAAUUACUGGGCGUAAAGCGUGCGCAGGCGGUUUUGUAAGUCUGUCGUGAAAUCCCCGGGCUCAACCUGGGAAUUGCGAUGGAGACUGCAAGGCUAGAAUCUGGCAGAGGGGGGUAGAAUUCCACGUGUAGCAGUGAAAUGCGUAGAGAUGUGGAGGAACACCGAUGGCGAAGGCAGCCCCCUGGGUCAAGAUUGACGCUCAUGCACGAAAGCUGGGG